rnacentral:rRNA from 1 species
CCUACGGGCGGCAGCAGUGAGGAAUAUUGGUCAAUGGGCGCGAGCCUGAACCAGCCAAGUAGCGUGAAGGAUGACUGCCCUACGGGUUGUAAACUUCUUUUAUAAGGGAAUAAAGUGAGGCACGUGUGCCUUUUUGUAUGUACUUUAUGAAUAAGGAUCGGCUAACUCCGUGCCAGCAGCCGCGGUAAUACGGAGGAUCCGAGCGUUAUCCGGAUUUAUUGGGUUUAAAGGGAGCGUAGGUGGGUUGUUAAGUCAGUUGUGAAAGUUUGCGGCUCAACCGUAAAAUUGCAAUUGAUACUGGCAGCCUUGAGUGCGGUUGAGGUAGGCGGAAUGCGUGGUGUAGCGGUGAAAUGCUUAGAUAUCACGAAGAACUCCGAUUGCGAAGGCAGCCUACUGGACUGCCACUGACGUUGAUGCUCGAAAGUGUGGGUAUCAAACAGGAUUAGAUACCCUAGUAGUC